UACGGAGGGUGCAAGCGUUAAUCGGAAUUACUGGGCGUAAAGCGCACGCAGGUGGCUGAGUCAGUCGAUUGUGAAAGCCCUGGGCUUAACCUGGGAAUUGCAGUCGAUACUACUCAGCUAGAGUAUGGGAGAGGGUAGUGGAAUUCCCGGUGUAGCGGUGAAAUGCGCAGAUAUCAGGAGGAACACCGGUGGCGAAGGCGGAUCUCUGGGCCUUGCCUGACGCUGAGGCGCGAAAGCUAGGGGAGCGAACAGG
rnacentral:rRNA from 1 species